CGUGUAGGCGGCUCGUCAAGUCUGAUGUGAAAGCCCUGGGCUCAACCCAGGAAGUGCAUUGGAAACUGGCGAACUUGAGUACGGGAGAGGAAAGUGGAAUUUCGAGUGUAGGGGUGAAAUCCGUAGAUAUUCGAAGGAACACCAGUGGCGAAGGCGGCUUUCUGGACCGAUACUGACGCUGAGACGCGAAAGCGUGGGGAGCAAACAGGAUUAGAUACCCUGGUAGUCC
rnacentral:rRNA from 1 species